GGCUCCUUGUUAAUCAUCAAAUUGGGGGUCGGGCCUGCCCAGUGAGAAAUUAAACGGCUGCGGUAAAUUGUACUAAGGUAGCAAAAUCCAUAGCCCUUUAAUUGGGGGCUUGUUGAAUGGCUUGACGAAGGCUAAACUGUCUUGCUUUAAUUUUUUAAAGCUAACUUGUGGGUGAAAAGGCCUUUUUAAAGUAGUUGGACGAGAAGACCCUAUUGAGCUUUAAUGCUUAUUUGUUUUUGUGGCUCGGGAAGGGGAGGGCUAGGAGGUAUUUUGGUUGGGGGGACAGGGGAAGAAGACAAUCUUCCUUGAGUUAAAAAGUCUGAUGGGAGUUGAUCCGCUUAGGGCGAGGAGCAGAACUAGUUACCAUAGGGAUAACAGCGUAAUCUUUCUUGAGAGAUCUCAUCGAAAGGAGGGUUUGCGACCUCGAUGUUGGAUUAGGUUUUCCGCAGGGUGCAGGGGCUCUGGAUGGUGGGUCUGUUCGACCCUUAAAAUCCUACA
rnacentral:rRNA from 1 species